rnacentral:rRNA from 1 species
UACGUAGGCAGCGAGCGUUGUUCGGAGUUACUGGGCGUAAAGGGUGUGUAGGCGGUUGUUUAAGUUUGGUGUGAAAUCUCCCGGCUCAACUGGGAGGGUGCGCCGAAUACUGAAUGACUUGGAGUGCGGGAGAGGAAAGUGGAAUUCCUGGUGUAGCGGUGAAAUGUGUAGAUAUCAGGAGGAACACCGGUGGUGUAGACGGCUUUCUGGACCGUAACUGACGCUGAGACACGAAAGCGUGGGUAGCAAACAGG